rnacentral:rRNA from 1 species
GACGAACGCUGGCGGCGUGCCUAAUACAUGCAAGUAGAACGCUGAAGAGAGGAGCUUGCUCUUCUUGGAUGAGUUGCGAACGGGUGAGUAACGCGUAGGUAACCUGCCUUGUAGCGGGGGAUAACUAUUGGAAACGAUAGCUAAUACCGCAUAACAAUGGAUGACACAUGUCAUUUAUUUGAAAGGGGCAAUCGCUCCACUACAAGAUGGACCUGCGUUGUAUUAGCUAGUAGGUGAGGUAAUGGCUCACCUAGGCGACGAUACAUAGCCGACCUGAGAGGGUGAUCGGCCACACUGGGACUGAGACACGGCCCAGACUCCUACGGGAGGCAGCAGUAGGGAAUCUUCGGCAAUGGGGGCAACCCUGACCGAGCAACGCCGCGUGAGUGAAGAAGGUUUUCGGAUCGUAAAGCUCUGUUGUAAGUCAAGAACGGGUGUGAGAGUGGAAAGUUCACACUGUGACGGUAGCUUACCAGAAAGGGACGGCUAACUACGUG